GUGCUCACUUCGGCAGCACAUAUACAAAAAGUGGCAUGACAUGGAGAAGAUAAGCAUGGUCCCUGUGAAAGGAUGACAAACAAAUUCAUGAAGCAUUCCAUAUUUUA
ensembl:snRNA U6 U6 spliceosomal RNA